UACGAAGGGGGCUAGCGUUGCUCGGAAUCACUGGGCGUAAAGCGCACGUAGGCGGCUUUUUAAGUCAGGGGUGAAAUCCUGGAGCUCAACUCCAGAACUGCCUUUGAUACUGAGAAGCUUGAGUCCGGGAGAGGUGAGUGGAACUGCGAGUGUAGAGGUGAAAUUCGUAGAUAUUCGCAAGAGCACCAGUGGCGAAGGCGGCUCACUGGCCCGGUACUGACGCUGAGGUGCGAAAGCGUGGGUAGCAAACAGG
rnacentral:rRNA from 1 species